UAACCGUGUCCAAAGCACUUUUACCCCUUUCAAAAGAACCCACGAACAAAUAUUUUAGUCUAAUCAGUGGAAACUAGUACUCCUACAACUUCUUGUGGUGUUUACUGGCGUAUUAUAUAUAAUAUAAGGAAGGUGGUGUGGGAUUGGAAAAGGAGGAGUGAAACUUGAAACAGACUGUCUAUCAUUAAAAAUGGUUCCCAGGGCUAAUUACGUGAUGAGUCUCUUCAUCCUAGUGUUGUUGUUCUCAUCCGAAACAACGUUUGCCAGAGUUUCUUAUUUUUCAGAAACCAAGGACAACAAAGGUAGCGAGCUUCUGAGGAUGAAUAAUAUUAACAUGGCAAAGAAAAUACGCGGAAAUUCAGGCCGAGCUACCGUGCCUUCAGGCAUCAUCUCAUAGAGGAGAGGACCCGUAAGUUUCUGGAUCGGAAACAUUUGCUGACCGGCCCGGACUCAGCUUGCGGUACAAUUCUACAGCCCAGGGGCGGCGUCAAUGAACAAUUAGAGUGGUCAGCUGACCCUUCUCAAAUUUGGCAUAUAUUGUAUUUGAUUUUUAUAUUUACCAGUCAUAGAAUAAUAUGGAAAUAUGGUGUGGUUGAUCAAGUUUUUUGGAAUAACUUUUAUUUAAAAAUGAAUAAAAAGUAUGCUUACUAUG